rnacentral:lncRNA from 1 species
UGAGUAAGACAAAGUUUACACCUCAUGCUGUAAUAUAUAAAGUCACAUAUUUUCACUUCCCAACAUAGUAGAACAAGUACAAUGACUUCUGGGAAUACUGUGUUAUUGGAGGGCUUUCAUCCCUCAUCUAGCUUAGUUAUGAAACUUCUAUGCAAUUUGAAUAGGAUGAAUAAUUAUGGGACUAGCUUGAGCAAUGUAUUGCAGCAUUUAAUCAGGGCAAAUAACAGUAAAAAAGGCACAAAGCCUUGGGAUACUAAACACAUUAAAACCUGCUGAGCUUACCAUCUAUGUCACUCCAGACAAGUAUGGAUGGAAUUUAUAGCAGCAAAUUAAAAUACAUCACACCCCCCUUUGAUUUUAGUCACAGAGAAGGGAACAGAGGAGCUUUAUAUUUUGUUGGAAAAAUGACUAUGUGCUACUUAGGCUGCCCUUCUUUCUGCAGAGCUCAUCACAAGAGAACCACCAGUCAUGGGCAUGUAGCCAGCAAAAAUAAGGUAACUGGAGAGAGGCCCAGUAGAGGAAAUUGCCACUUGACUACAUCGUGGAUUAAAUCAUGCAGGACAAAAACCUAUGUGGGCAACUGUGACCUGAUGAAGACUACCCAUAAAGAUGUCAAAUAUUGCUGCAAGCCAGAAACAUCUUACCUGCUCUCAAUGCUACCCAAGGACCACUGGAUGUCACAUAGGGACAUAUGAAAGGAGGCUAUAUCUCUCUUCAGUGAUGGAAGAUUGACUGUAUUGACCCUCACCCAUUAUCAAAAGUGGCUGAGUAUGCUUUGACUUGGGUGAAUACAAUUAUGAGCUUAAUGCAAGACUUCUUUGGCAGACAGUCAAUCAAAGGGUCCUUAUUAAAGGGCUGAUCUGACUGAGUGCUCUGUAUGGCACACCACAGGUAAUUGAGAGUAAACAAGGAAUUCAUUUCACAGGCCAUGAAAUACACCAUGCGCUCAAGAUCAGAACAUAUUAUAGAUUAUCCACCUGCCAUACAAUCCAACAGGAACUGGAUUAAUUGAAAGAAUAAAUGACCUGUUGAAGUAAGCCUUAAAUAAUGAGAAUAACUCUAUGCUGGCCCGAGACACUUAGAACAUCCAGUGAGAAACCCAGACAUCAGCAGCCUGCAGCUUGCAGACAUUUCUAUGGCAGCAGGCCCAUUACCACCAGCAUUAAGAUUACAAAUAAAGGACACAGCUACUGGACAAUUCUUAAGCCAGCCUGGGGCACCCAGGUAACAACUUCCUCUUGCCAGUUUUUCAAGAUAUCACAUCCAGUACUGGAAGCAUUAUUUGGUCAAGGACUGUACAAGUAAACAAAUUCCCAGUAUUUUGAUGUACUGACUCCUAAAUAUGAGGGAGAACAUCUAAAUUUAUAAGUAAAGCCUAGUGUGUUGGGAAUUUGGCCCUCAAAAUUUCAGGUGUUAUCCUCUGGUAUCAUCACCCAAGGGCCACUUCCUGUCAAUUUAUGACAGUAUAUAUUCCAGAAGUGUCUUCCUCUUUCUAUACACUUAAGUGAAUAUUGGUCUGUUAUACCAGUCCAGGCAAGGCUACUAUAGAAGCUACUUUACUAACACUAGAUUAUACAGUAACUUGUACUGACUCUGGGAGCUGAUUUGGCAUUAUAGGUCCCUGUCAAAACAUUUUCCAUAUUUUCCAUAGGUUAGCAAUAUGUAGCCUUUUUCAGGACUGGGGAAUGAUGGUUGCAUAUCAUGCUAACCAGACUGACCACUGGAUUUGCUCAGAACUCCCUAUGACUGCAGCACAAGGAUUUGCUGGGCCCAACCUGCAAAUGAGACAGAAUGAACUUGCUAACAUAAUUACCUUAGCAUGCCUGUUGAUAGGCUCUUGCUCUUUGUGGUGCUGUUGUGAGAUAUGUACGUAAUUUGCCUCUGCAACAUUGUCAUUAGCGUUUCACAGAAGGUUUGAAGUUAUUUAAGAUUGUUAGGGACAUCAAGGAGCUUCCAAGCCACUGAAUGGAUAGAGUGCUGGGAUAAAACAUGAAUUGGCACCUAAGAAGCUUGUCAUUUCAGAUGCCAAAUAGUGAGAGUAAAAGGACUCCAAAAAAUGUGAUAAUAAAGAAAAUGGAGAAGGGGAACUGGUCACUUACCUUAUCUCCAGUCUUUAGAUGGGUAUCAAAGCAGAGAAACCCUAGUUAUAAAGUGAAAAUAAAAAGAAGAAAAAGAAAAAAAAAACAUCCAUAAAACAUAUGAAAUGUGAAGAAAUCCAUCUUCACAGUGAGCAUGCUACUACCCUGUAUAUUCCCCUAAUUUGUGGGUCAGGGUGGCCCUCCAUUUUGUCCCUGCAUGUGAGUAAUAAAAUUUCUAAACCCUGUCCGUUGUGUCCUGCAAGAUUUCGUU